rnacentral:rRNA from 1 species
AGCGAACGUUAGCGGCGGGCCUAACACAUGCAAGUCGAACGCGAAAGGUCUUCGGACUGAUUAGAGUGGCGCACGGGUGAGUAACACGUAGGUAAUCUACCUUUGGCGGGGGAUAACGUUCCGAAAGGAGCGCUAAUACCGCAUAAGACCACGGAGUCUCCGGACGCUGUGGGAAAAAGGUGGCCUCUUCUUGAAAGCUAUCACCGGAGGAUGAGCCUGCGUCCCAUCAGCUAGUUGGUAAGGUAAUGGCUUACCAAGGCAAAGACGGGUAGCUGGUUUGAGAGAAUGAUCAGCCACACUGGCACUGGAACACGGGCCAGACUCCUACGGGAGGCAGCAGUGAGGAUAAUUGGGCAAUGGGCGAAAGCCUGACCCAGCCACGCCGCGUGAGUGAUGAAGGCCCUCGGGUCGUAAAG